CCGGUGAUGCCCAUGAUUCCACUCAUUACUCUGCACCACAAACUCCUCCUGACCCUGGGCAGCCCACUACCAGACGGUUAUAAACAUCGCUAUCAGCCUGAUGCCCUCUCCGCCUAUAAAAGGGGGACCCCAGAUACGUUAUUCUCUAAGCUCUAAUUUCUAUCCCAAAACUCUGCUAAAAUUUCUAUUCGAGCACUCCAUUCUUGUUGAGGCAGAGAACUGACU
rnacentral:lncRNA from 1 species